AGAAUCAACGCUGGCGGCGUGCCUAACACAUGCAAGUCGAACGAGAAAGUGGAGCAAUCCAUGAGUAAAGUGGCGACCGGGUGAGUAACACGUGACUAACCUACCCUAGAGUGGGGAAUAACCUCGGGAAACCGGGGCUAAUACCGCAUAACAUCAUCGGGUGUAAAUUCCUGAUGAUCAAAGGAGCAAUUCGCUCAAGGAGGGGGUCGCGGCUGAUUAGUUAGUUGGUGAGGUAACGGCUCACCAAGACUUAGAUCAGUAUCCGGCCUGAGAGGGCGCACGGACACACUGGAACUGAAACACGGUCCAGACUCCUACGGGAGGCAGCAGUGGGGAAUUUUGCGCAAUGGGGGAAACCCUGACGCAGCAACGCCGCGUGGAGGAUGAAGUCCCUUGGGAUGUAAACUCCUUUCGAUCGGGACGAUUAUGACGGUACCGGAAGAAGAAGCACCGGCUAACUCUGCGCCAGCAGCCGCGGUAA
rnacentral:rRNA from 1 species